UGGGGAAUCUUCCGCAAUGGGCGAAAGCCUGACGGAGCAACGCCGCGUGAGUGAAGAAGGUCUUCGGAUCGUAAAGCUCUGUCGAAGGGGACGAACGUAGUUCUUGUGAAUAAUGAGAGCUAAUGACGGUACCUUUCAAGAAAGCCACGGCUAACUACGUGCCAGCAGCCGCGGUAAUACGUAGGUGGCGAGCGUUGUCCGGAAUGAUUGGGCGUAAAGGGAGCGCAGGCGGGAAAGUAAGUCUAUCUUAAAAGUGCGGGGCUCAACCCCGUGAGGGGAUGGAAACUAUUUUUCUUGAGUGCAGGAGAGGAAAGCGGAAUUCCUAGUGUAGCGGUGAAAUGCGUAGAUAUUAGGGGGAACACCAGUGGCGAAGGCGGCUUUCUGGACUGUAACUGACGCUGAGGCUCGAAAGCCAGGGGAGCGAACGGGAUUAGAUACCCUGGUAGU
rnacentral:rRNA from 1 species